UGCAUCAGCUAAAUAUUUGAAAUUAUUGGCAUUGAGAGUGGUUAAAUGAGAUCAUUCUCAGUUGAGUUCAAGGGGUUACUAUCCUUAUUAUAUUUCAGACUGAAUUGUAUAACGUGCAGCAAAAAUCUGAUCUAGAAGCUUUAAGAAAGUGCGUACGUGUUGGUUUGUAAGCUUUCAUCAUUCAGUAUCUAUUUUAUAUCCUGAAUAUAUUGUUUUAAAAAUUUCUGGUUGAAAUGGAAAGCCUUCAGUUGGAGCUGAUUUAAUCAACGGAAUUGUUGUAAUAUCUUAACUUACAAUGUUCAGUUUUAAUUUAUAAAAUGUUAUCUGGACAACUCA